GGUAGAAUCCUGUCCUUAAUUAAACCACAACUAAAUCAGGUACAGUACACACACACACACACACACACACACAAUACAAUCAAAUAAUACCUCCUCUGUAAACAGACACAUUAUGACACUCGGCCUGUUUAAACAUAAUUACAGUAAUCCCGUUACAGCUGUGUGGACUUAAGGGUCUCAAUGGCUUCGUAUAAUCUUCCAUUGUCAUAUCAUAGCUUAUAUUAAGAGACUGACAGUAAAUAUACUACAUAAAGUCCAUCUCACAUCAUUAAGACAUCAAACGUCUGAGCAUCAACACAGAGGAAGCGAUGAGCUCCGUUACUCCGUCGCUUCCUUCUUACGCGCUGUAAUUGAAAAGAGGCGUCAGGAGCAGAGGAAGGAGCGCUGUGUGACAGUGCUGCAGGAAAAGAGAUGGAAAGUCCGGCUUGUUAAAGGUCACCAGUAGCCAAUUCCCCCCCUGUCCCUCCCCGGGCCGCUCCUAUUGGCUGGUAGUAGUAAUCAUGACCUUUUCACACAAAGCCAAACCAGCACGUGUGCAAACAAACAUCUAAUCAUGAUGUAUGUCUCUGCAGGGGGAGCGAGGCACAGAUGGAGAUCCAGGGACUCCCGGUGUACCUGCCCAGGGACCCCCUGUGUUGUGUCUACAGCUGCAUAAUAGUCCAGCUUGCAGUACUUGGUUGUCCAUUAGAUGUCCCUCCUAGGACAGGUCUAUAGAUGUCCCUCAUAGGACAGGUCUAUAGCAGGUUGGCAAACGUUUUGACUCGCGGCCACAAUGGGUUGUAAAAUGUGACGGAGGAGCCGGGCCAAGAACAAAUGGUGGAAGUGAAAAGAUUUGGAUUUUAACAAAUAGCAAAGCAUUUAUUUGCAAGGCAAUUUAACAAAUUGGCAAAGGUGUAACAACUUCAUGAGGACCAGGGAUCUAAACGCAACACUUAGUUGUCUUUGUUUACUUGCAACGCUUUUGACACGGCCACCUGUCACGUGUGUGGCGCCUCUAUGUUGCUUAGUAACGAACGUACGGUGGCCGAGACGGUUUAACGUCUUCUCACGAUGUGGCGCGUGAACUACAGUAGAAAUGCGCGAAGCUUCAGAACCUGCAACGAGUUUAUUACGUUAGACGCGUUUGUGACGGAGCGUCUCAUCCAGCGAGGAAACGCUGGCUGCCGUCGCCAGAGAACAGAGCAGAAAGGUCCGAC
ensembl:lncRNA